rnacentral:misc_RNA from 1 species
AUAAGUGUACUCCGGGGGGUAUGCAGAGUAGCCAUAUACAUUGUAAGGAAUCCCUUGUUGGAUAGCAUUAUUAUGAGCAAAAGCAACUGAAGCAAAAGCUGCUCCCAUCCCACCAAGGAGUCCUGCUGUAUUAUGAAAGGCCUUCACGCCUGGUCUAAAGCCCUUCUUUGCUCCUCCUUGUGUUGGAGGUGGUGUUGUAGGUGCUGAUUUCUGAACACCAAGAGAAGCAAGGUUGCAAUUGGCCCUCCUUCCG